UACGUAGGUGGCAAGCGUUUGUCCGGGAAUUAUUGGGCGUAAAGCGCGCGCAGGCGGUCCUUUAAGUCUGAUGUGAAAGCCCUCGGCUCAACCGAGGAGGGUCAUUGGAAACUGGAGGACUUGAGUGCAGAAGAGGAAAGUGGAAUUCCAAGUGUAGCGGUGAAAUGCGUAGAGAUUUGGAGGAACACCAGUGGCGAAGGCGACUUUCUGGUACUGUAACUGACGCUGAGGCGCGAAAGCGUGGGGAGCAAACAGG
rnacentral:rRNA from 1 species